AUUGAACGCUGGCGGCAGGCCUAACACAUGCAAGUCGAACGGUAACAGAAAGCAGCUUGCUGCUUUGCUGACGAGUGGCGGACGGGUGAGUAAUGUCUGGGAAACUGCCUGAUGGAGGGGGAUAACUACUGGAAACGGUAGCUAAUACCGCAUAACGUCGCAAGACCAAAGAGGGGGACCUUCGGGCCUCUUGCCAUCGGAUGUGCCCAGAUGGGGUUAGCUAGUAGGUGGGGUAACGGCUCACCUAGGCGACGAUCCCUAGCUGGUCUGAGAGGAUGACCAGCCACACUGGAACUGAGACACGGUCCAGACUCCUACGGGAGGCAGCAGUGGGGAAUAUUGCACAAUGGGCGCAAGCCUGAUGCAGCCAUGCCGCGUGUAUGAAGAAGGCCUUCGGGUUGUAAAGUACUUUCAGCGGGGAGGAAGGGAGUAAAGUUAAUACCUUUGCUCAUUGACGUUACCCGCAGAAGAAGCACCGGCUAACUCCGUG
rnacentral:rRNA from 1 species